GAUGAACGCUAGCUACAGGCUUAACACAUGCAAGUCGAGGGGCAGCGGUAUCGAAAGCUUGCUUUCGGUAGCCGGCGACCGGCGCACGGGUGAGUAACGCGUAUCGAACCUGCCUCAUACGUGGGCAUAGCCGUGCGAAAGUAAGAUUAAUCCCCGGUGUUUUCAGAGUCACGCAUGAGUGUUUGAACAACGAUUUAUUGGUAUGAGAUGGCGAUGCGUCCCAUUAGCUUGUUGGUGGGGUAACGGCCAACCAAGGCAUCGAUGGGUAGGGGUUCUGAGAGGAAGGACCGCCACAUUGGAACUGAGACACGGUCCAAACGCCUACGGGAGGCAGCAGUGAGGAAUAUUGGUCAAUGGGCGGAAGCCGGAACCAGCCAAGCAGCGUGCAGGAAGACGGCCCUCCGGGUUGUAAACUUCUUUUAGUUGGGAAUAAAACGGGCUCGUGAGCCCCCAUGCAUGUACCAUCAGAAAAAGGACCGGCUAAUUCCGUGCCAGCCGCCGCAGUAA
rnacentral:rRNA from 1 species